CUAUUAAGUCAUGGAGGUGUCCUCUGGUGUUCAAACCUUAAGUAAAGAGAGUUUCCUGAGAACUUAGAAGAGCCUUUGUGGACAUUUGAUCUGAAGAAGUGGUCAGCAGCAAACCUCCUCAUGUUGGGCAUAACCAGGUGCCAUGAACCAGUCACGCAUACUGGUGGUUUUAAACUGAGCAGGGUUCUGGGAUGGGGAAGUGUGAGGCCACAUUCCCAAAGUUGCCAAAUUGCCAAAGUGUUGACUCAAGUCCUACGAUUCUCAGUUAAGGAGAAACAUGAAGAAAUUGGAGAAGGAUCGCUUAGGGAUUUUAGUUGGGAAUAAUUUAGUACGUAGGGAAGUUAAAGGGGUUGGAUAGGUAUUGAGAAAGCUGAGGAGUGAUUUCUAGGAACAGUUAUCCAGAAUGUAAAGAGCUCUUACCGAGAGGAUGACUCACACCCUCUCUUCUUAACAUGUGGACAGGGUCAGAGCUUCCACCUAAAGCAAGUCAAGAGAGUUUAACUGAGAUAUAAGGAGAAUGAUAUGAAGAGGGUCUUGCGCUAAUUCACGAUGUAUUCUUUGGAUUGACUUGUCUCUUUGGGAUAGCACAGGACUUAAAAUCUGUUUGGAGUGCGGUGACUACACUUUGAAGCAAUGUCACAAUAAAAACAGCAAUGCUUACCAACAUACAAUUGUUCAAUUAGUUUAAUCAUGUACCAUGAAAAGUCAAGUUUCUUGUUUUGAGUUAUUGGAAACAGGUGAAAUGUAUUGAUUCAAUGUAUUGGAAAAAUCCUCUAGGAAGCCCGGGACUUGGAGUAGGCCUUGGUCACAUUGCAGGGGAAUCACCAAGGGAGAUCACAGAAUCAUCACCUUUGGAAGUCUUUUAAAACAGAAACAUCUGCAUGAGCUGUGAGUUCUGAGUAAAGGGGAACAGCAGGGCACCCAGGAAGACAGCCUUUCUAAAGUUCCUUCUGAGCCUAAUAUUUUUAUAUGUAACCUCCAAACAGGAUCAACAAUAACAGUACUCCAGGCCUGCCCUCUUCCCCUUUGGACAUUUUUCCACAUUGAUUUUUCUCUGCAUCACAGAAGGCUUUUUCCAGGGAGUGCCUGCUCAGACUUUGUUUAGGUGACUUUGGGGAUGCCUGCAGGCUCCAGAGACCUUGUUGUUUGGGAGAAGAUAUCAGAAGGCUGCCAAUGAAAACUCUGAUUGGUGAGGAACAUGUACACUAAAAGAACAUUUCCAUAGAUGCAGCAUGUGAUGAUGGAGGCUACGUUUUACUUGAGGUAGAGGAGAAUUUUAAGGAAAGAUGAAACAGUUCAGCUCAGAGGACUCACACCUACUCUGGAGGACACAGAAAGAAGAGAAUUAGGAAAAUAGAUAAAGGACUUUUAGGUUAUUUUCCAACGCUAUUAAAAUCCAGAUAGUGACUAUUUUUUUUUUUUUUUUUUGUAGAAAUCAGUUAAUGUUUUGUGUUUUUUUCCAACCAAACUCAGCCAGAGUGUUCCUUUUUUUUAAUUUUUAUUUUAUAUUGGAGUAUAGUUGAUUUACAAUGUUAUGUUAGUUUCCGGUGUACAGAUAGUGACCUUUAUAAAAUGGUUUGAGAAGGAAAAGAAGUUACUAUAUCAAUGCAAUGUCUCACUAAGGGCAGGAAACAGUUUUCUGUGUGAAAGGCUUUUUUCCUCUCCUUCACUUAAAAAGUACAGCAACUAGUGGCCGCCCUCAUGGCUUAUGUAAGCUCACUGAUAGCUACAUAGCUAAGGUGAAAACAGAAGUCUUGAACCAGGCAGGGUGGCUGCAUCCACUUACAGGUGCUUGUGAUUCCCUUUGAUGUACCAGGCACUGUGUGCUAGGAGCUGGGGGUACAGUGUUAAGGUGGAACAAGCUGAAAACCUGGCGUGAUGACUGUUGUGAAGUGGGAUCAGUAGGAUGAUUUGGGAAUGUAAUCAGGGGGCUAAUCUAGUUGGUGGGAGGCUCCGAGGGAAAGCCACCAUGAGGAAGUGGUAGUUCAGCUGAGACUUGAAGGCUGAGUAGGAGUAAGCCAGGUGAAAGGGAGGCACAUUAAGGAAGGAGAAACAGCAUGUGCAAAAUACCUGAGACAAAUGAGAACCUUCCGUAUUCAAGGAAACUGAAAAAAGGAUUGUGAACAGCAAAGGAGAGCGCCUCCUGAGAUGGGCUAGCCAAGAAGGCAAGGCUGACCGAGAUACCAGCUCCUUUCUUCCUUGACAGUGAAAAAGAAAGAAGUAGCAGUGGUGCAAUUCUGGCUGAGGCUAUUGCCCAGAUUUGAGGUGUGCUGGUCUCAAAGCCCCCUUUCAUACCUGAUAGCUGAAAUGUGAUCAUCAGAUCUUCAACCCACUUAUUACUUCUUCCAGACAGCUAGAUGUUAGGUUACCAGCUUUUUUCUCCAGCUUUACUGAGGUAUAACAGACAAAACUGUAGGGUAUUUAAAGCGUACAACAUAAUGAUUUGAUAUACAUUGUGAAUGGAUGUCUAAAACUGAGUUUAUUAUUAACAAAAGGUUAAUAAUAAACACAAAGUUAUCAGCUUUUAAAUCUUAGGGCUAACAAACUCUUAACUCUACGUUUUGUCAUAGGUGUUGAGUUGGUACUGGGUGCCUGAGGGGGCAGGGGCCCCUGCGAUUUGUAGGGCCACUUUCCGUAGCCCCUUCAACCUUGCAGAAUGUCUGCUAUUACAGGAGUCAGCAUGACACUGUACAGCAGCUCUGCCCUGGCUCCAAAGACUGCAGCUUUUCUUUUUAGUUGAUUCCCAGCGCUGCCCUCUUCCUUCCAGGCCCUGGCCUGACGCUAUAGGGAAGUUGUGUAUCUCUUUCUUCAUUGAGAUUCCCUUUCUGAGAAUAACACUGGGCAAAAUUUCUCUGCUACUUUUGUCAUCUUCCCUUCUUUAAUAUCGUUCACUGGCUACACAAAUUUGCCCACUUUGACAUUCUCAACAUCCCCCUUCACCCAAGAACAAUCACUCCAUUGAACAACAGCAAGAAGAAGCAAUGAUAAAAAAUAAAAACAUAGCCUGAGUGAUCCACUACAGAGACAAUACAAGCCUUUGGGUGAAUUUAUACUAAAGUGUAAAUGACUGAAACAUGCAUACCUUCUCCAGUCUCCCUUGUGAAAAGUACAUUCUCUUUUGCAUAUUUUUAUUUUAAAGAAGUUUGCCUAUUAGCCUGAGGUUUUAAUUAGCCACUGAAUCAAAAUGAAGUCUUUCUAACUGCAUAAAGUAUUUUAGACCACAGGAUCAUUUUUUUCUGAAACCUUUGCCACCAGCAGGCAGCCACGAACAGUGCCAAAAGGAAUUAGACUCUGGACUGAUUUUCAUGUGUUAGUUAUUUUUUCCCUCUUCAAAAUCUAUCAACUGUUCGAACCUGCAUACACAAACAGGAACACUGGGGAGAAGAGUCCCAGAGGGUGGAAGAUCCCCUACUCCUCAUCCCACGUGCCUCACCUCAUGUCACACACCCCUCUCUCUCUCCCCUUGCUGAGGACCUGCCCCAAGGCCAUCCCAGCUGGUCUCAAGGCACUGACCGAGUCCUGCUUCGCAGCCGCUGGAAGUGCCAACCCACUCGCGUCCCCAAACCCGAUCCUUCCACGGGACACCCAGCUAGGGUCUACAGCGAGUGACCUUGCCGUGGGAGGCGCGGCCCCCAUCACCUGCCCAAGCCGGCGGAGCAGGGCCUGAAGCCCCGCGCGAUCAGCCAACCGGAGCUCCCCAGGCCGCUCUCCAGGAGCCAACUCAGGCGAGCACAGGACCCCCUGUUUGGGGUUAUUUGUUCGCCUCACUCCUGGUUCCUGCUCUCAAACCUUCCUCCCAGCAGCCGCCGCCAGCGCACCCGAACCGCAGGAAAGUUGCUCUCUAGCUGUGGAGGGGAGUCAUCGCCUCCUAGCAACGCUCCUAGCAACCGGUAACAUCUGCUCCCUCUGGUCCAAUGCGAGCCGAGAACAGCUGCGCGCCCGCCUCGCGUUGCGAACCCUGAGCGAGAGGAGCUUCAGAGACUGGAGGGACGGACCUGCAGGAGCCAGGGCAGCCCGCCGAGCUGCAGUUGCCGUGCUGCCACUGUCGCGCCGCCGCCGCCGUCGCUGUCGCCGUCAGCGCCCGUCUGAAGAGUGACAGCGCCGCAAAACGGGAGGGAGCACCGGAUCCGGCGCCUUUAUGAAACAGGUAGCCAUUCAUGAGCCCGAGGCUUUGAGAAAUGCUCGCUGUGCAGAGGGGAACUCUCACCAGAUUUUCUGAAGCUGUCCUAGAGAUACACUUUUCAGAUUGAUUCAGCAUUACCAGCUUAUCCAACAAAAGUAUUAACACAUACGUUAACAACGUCGAAAGUAGCCUACUUUAAGAGAAAAUAUGCAGAAGA